GCGGCUGGUGGACGAGGUGGCAAAGAGACUGCAAACUCUUUACAAUGAAGAUCUUCGUCGCUCUUUGCCUCCUGUGCACCGUCAUGGUGGAUUCGACACAAGGUGAGUGCGUGCCUCGUCAACCCUUGCACGCGGGAGUACUUCCCUUUGUGUGGGGAUGACGGUCGCACCUACAACAACUGGUGUCUCUUCAAAGCCGAAAUCGAUGAGUGCCAACCUAACCUAAGGCUGUCUUCCUGUGGAGCGUGUCAAACGGUCUAAGGACAUCAGAUGGACCUGACAGCUUCCUGUCAAUGAAUUUCAUCACCGGAGAGAGUGAUGAUCUAGUCCUGAAGCUGCACUGAACAUAUUUGUCAACAAAAAUUAAAUGUAAUCGAAACGAGCAGGAUAAAAUAAAUUUAAAUAUUGAAACCAGA